UACGUAGGGUGCAAGCGUUGUCCGGAAUUAUUGGGCGUAAAGAGCUCGUAGGCGGUCUGUCGCGUCGGCUGUGAAAACCCAGAGCUCAACUCCGGGCCUGCAGUCGAUACGGGCAGACUGGAGUUCGGCAGGGGAGACUGGAAUUCCUGGUGUAGCGGUGAAAUGCGCAGAUAUCAGGAGGAACACCGGUGGCGAAGGCGGGUCUCUGGGCCGAUACUGACGCUGAGGAGCGAAAGCGUGGGGAGCGAACAGG
rnacentral:rRNA from 1 species